GCCUUCGUGGCGUAGUGGUCAGCACGCUCGACGCGUAUUCGAGAGGUCCGUAAUUCGAAUCCCGGCGAGGGCA
rfam:Stegodyphus mimosarum contig38611, whole genome shotgun sequence.